CCUACGGGAGGCAGCAGUGAGGAAUAUUGGUCAAUGGGCGCGAGCCUGAACCAGCCAAGUAGCGUGAAGGAUGACUGCCCUACGGGUUGUAAACUUCUUUUAUAAAGGAAUAAAGUGAGGCACGUGUGCCUUUUUGUAUGUACUUUAUGAAUAAGGAUCGGCUAACUCCGUGCCAGCAGCCGCGGUAAUACGGAGGAUCCGAGCGUUAUCCGGAUUUAUUGGGUUUAAAGGGAGCGUAGAUGGGUUGUUAAGUCAGUUGUGAAAGUUUGCGGCUCAACCGGAAAAUUGCAAGUCAGACUGGCAGCCUUGAGUACAGUUGAGGUAGGCGGAAUUCGUGGUGGAGCGGUGAAAUGCUUAGAUAUCACGAAGAACUCCGAUUGCGAAGGCAGCUUACUAAACUGCCACUGACAUUGAUGCUCGAAAGUGUGGGUAUCAAACAGGAUUAGAUACCCUAGUAGUC
rnacentral:rRNA from 1 species